rnacentral:rRNA from 1 species
GCAAGUCGAACGAGAAAGCCCUUCGGGGUGAGUACAGUGGCGCACGGGUGAGUAACGCGUAGGUGAUAUGCCUUUUAGUGGGGGACAACAUCGUGAAAACGGUGCUAAUACCGCAUAAGCUAAGUGACAUUGGAAAAACUUAGGAAAGGGGCUUCGGUCUCGCUAGAAGAUUGGCCUGCGUGACAUUAGCUUGAUGGUGGGGUAACGGCCUACCAUGGCUUCGAUGUCUAGCCGGAUUGAGAGAUUGAUC